rnacentral:siRNA from 1 species
GCUUCAUUUGUCUUCCUC